rfam:Zostera marina strain Finnish scaffold_173, whole genome shotgun sequence.
AUACCUUUCUCGGCCUUUUGGCUAAGAUCAAGUGUAGUAUCUGUUCUUAUCAGUUUAAUAUCUGAUACGUGGGCCAUCGGCUCACAUGAUAUUAAAUUAAUUUUUUUUGGGGGAAGAUCAUUACGGUAGCUUGCUAUUGGGAUCUUUGAGCGUCUCCUUUGCGUUGCACUAUUGCAAAGGUUUGCACACCCCUA